CCCAAGGUAGAGACCAUCGCCAUCUUAAAUCACAGUAACAAAAAGACAUUAAAAUACAUAACUACAGAAAUACCGAAUGCAUAUGGUUCGUGUAAUGUAUCCCCAGACAGCCUGGAUCUGAGGGCAUGUUUUCACCGAAUAGCGCUCAGAUCCGAUGUAUCCAGUCGAAUCGCCAUGGAGUCAAAGUCCUGCACCAGUCCUUCG